UACGAAGGGUGCAAGCGUUGUUCGGAAUUACUGGGCGUAAAGCGCACGUAGGCGGCUUAGCAAGUCGGAUGUGAAAGCCCUCGGCUCAACCAAGGAAGUGCAUCCGAAACUGCUGAGCUUGAGUACUUAAGAGGAUCGCGGAAUUCCCGGUGUAGAGGUGAAAAUUCGUAGAUAUCGGGAGGAACACCAGUGGCGAAGGCGGCGAUCUGGGAAGAUACUGACGCUGAGGUGCGAAAGCGUGGGGAGCAACAGG
rnacentral:rRNA from 1 species